rnacentral:rRNA from 1 species
GACGAACGCUGGCGGCGUGCCUAAUACAUGCAAGUCGAGCGGACGAAUCGAAAGCUUGCUUUUGAUUCGUUAGCGGCGGACGGGUGAGUAACACGUGGGCAACCUGCCCUGUAGACGGGGAUAACACCGAGAAAUCGGUGCUAAUACCGGAUAACACGAAAUGUCGCAUGACGUUUCGUUGAAAGACGGCGCAAGCUGCCGCUACAGGAUGGGCCCGCGGCGCAUUAGCUAGUUGGUGAGGUAACGGCUCACCAAGGCGACGAUACGUAGCCGACCUGAGAGGGUGAUCGGCCACACUGGGGCUGAGACACGGCCCAGACUCCUACGGGAGGCAGCAGUAGGGAAUCUUCCGCAAUGGACGAAAGUCUGACGGAGCAACGCCGCGUGAGCGAAGAAGGCCUUCGGGUCGUAAAGCUCUGUUGUUAGGGAAGAACAAGUAACGCAGUAACUGGCGUUACCGUGACGGUACCUAACGAGAAAGCCACGGCUAACUACGUG